CAGUCGCCGCGGUAAUACGGAAGGUCCGGGCGUUAUCCGGAUUUAUUGGGUUUAAAGGGAGCGUAGGCCGUGGAUUAAGCGUGUUGUGAAAUGUAGACGCUCUACGUCUGACUUGCAGCGCGAACUGGUUCACUUGAGCGUGCGCAACGCAGGCGGGAUUCGUGGUGUAGCGGUGAAAUGCUUAGAUAUCACGAAGAACUCCGAUUGCGAAGGCAGCUUGCGGGAGCACAACUGACGCUGAAGCUCGAAAGUGCGGGUACCAAACAGGAUUAGAUACCCCUGUAGUCCCUGUCUCUUAUAC
rnacentral:rRNA from 1 species